AAGGCUUUGGAGCCCCUCAAUUUGCACUAAAUUACAUUAAAUUAAGAACUACGGGGUCACCCUUCAGAACCCCCAAGGAAAUUUCCACGUCAAUUAAGGAUAUUUUCGUCAUUGUUCAAUGGGAAUGAAAAGAUCUUAAAGUUACGGGGCUUUGAUUUUAGCAGCGAGAGGAGCUCCGUUUGGCCGCGCUAGAUCUGGAACCGUUAGGACGUGGCCUCUUCGAGGCCGUUGGAUUGUCAUUCACAUUGAACAUUCCCACGCCAUCUGAACCGACCAUUUCCAUAAACAUCCUCUGUAGGUCCUCGAAGCUGUCACCCUCCGGUUUGACGUUGUUCAUCAUUGUGAUCAUCUCUUGCAUGAAAUCGCAAAAUUCCUCAUCGUCUUCUU
rnacentral:misc_RNA from 1 species